GGAUGAAGAAGAAAUGAGAAAUAGAAGCGGAAUAGGAGAAGGAACCAAGAUGUAAUAUUUAGCUCUGUCGCAGCUGGUAACACGGUGGUGCCAUCCAGGGAGGGAAGACACACUUCCUCUCUGCACCAUCCGCGGGGGAUUUGACCCUGCCUCGCACCAGCUUUGUCCUGGUAACGUGGUGCUACCCAUGGAGGAAGGACAGACUAGUUUGCUUCAUCUAACCUAACUAAUAAUAAAUGUUGUCAUCA